rnacentral:rRNA from 1 species
AGCGAACGCUGGCGGCAGGCCUAACACAUGCAAGUCGAACGAAGUCUUCGGACUUAGUGGCGGACGGGUGAGUAACGCGUGGGAAUCUGCCCUUAGGUUCGGAAUAACAGCUGGAAACGGCUGCUAAUACCGGAUGAUAUCGCGAGAUCAAAGAUUUAUCGCCUGAGGAUGAGCCCGCGUUGGAUUAGGUAGUUGGUGGGGUAAAGGCCUACCAAGCCGACGAUCCAUAGCUGGUCUGAGAGGAUGAUCAGCCACACUGGGACUGAGACACGGCCCAGACUCCUACGGGAGGCAGCAGUGGGGAAUAUUGGACAAUGGGCGAAAGCCUGAUCCAGCAAUGCCGCGUGAGUGAUGAAGGCCCUAGGGUUGUAAAGCUCUUUUACCCGGGAAGAUAAUGACUGUACCGGGAGAAUAAGCCCCGGCUAACUCCGUGCCAGCCGCCGCGGUAA